rnacentral:rRNA from 1 species
AACGUCCUACGGGGGGCAGCAGUAGGGAAUUUUCGUCAAUGGGCGCAAGCCUGAACGAGCAAUGCCGCGUGAACGAGGAAGGUCUUCGGAUCGUAAAGUUCUGUUGAAGGGGAAAAAGAGCGGAGAGAGGAAAUGAACUCCGAUUGAUAUUACCCUUCGAGGAAGUCACGGCUAACUACGUGCCAGCAGCCGCGGUAAUACGUAGGUGACAAGCGUUGUCCGGAUUUACUGGGUGUAAAGGGCGCGUAGGCGGGAUAGCAAGUCAAUCGUGAAAUG